CAGUCGCCGCGGGAAUACGAAGGGUGCAAGCGUUAAUCGGAAUUACUGGGCGUAAAGCGUGCGUAGGCGGUUUGUUAAGUCUGUUGUGAAAUCCCCGGGCUCAACCUGGGAAUGGCAAUGGAUACUGGCUCGCUAGAGUGUGUCAGAGGAUGGUGGAAUUCCCGGUGUAGCGGUAAAAUGCGUAGAGAUCGGGAGGAACAUCAGUGGCGAAGGUGGCCAUCUGGGACAACACUGACGCUGAGGCACGAAAGCGUGGGGAGCAAACAGGAUUAGAUACCCCUGUAGUCCCUGUCUCUUAUAC
rnacentral:rRNA from 1 species